rnacentral:tRNA from 1 species
UGAAGAUCUCUAUCCCUCUUACCCAAUUUCCAGAUGGAUUCUCGUUUUUUUUAUUUCCCGGCUUAGUAUUACCCAUCAAUAUAC